CCUACGGGAGGCAGCAGUGGGGAAUAUUGCACAACGGGGGAAACCCUGAUGCAGCAACGCCGCGUGAGCGAUGAAGGCCUUCGGGUCGUAAAGCUCUGUCCUAAGGGAAGAAUAAUGACGGUACCUUAGGAGGAAGCCCCGGCUAACUACGUGCCAGCAGCCGCGGUAAUACGUAGGGGGCGAGCGUUAUCCGGAAUCACUGGGCGUAAAGGGUGCGUAGGCGGCCCUGCAAGUCAGGAGUUAAAUCCCUCGGCUCAACCGAGGUCGGCGCUUGAAACUGUAGGGCUUGAGUGCAGGAGAGGAGAGCGGAAUUCCUAGUGUAGCGGUGACAGGCGUAGGUAUUAGGAGGAACACCAGUGGCGAAGGCUGCUCUCUGGACUGCAACUGACGCUGAGGCACGAAAGCGUGGGGAGCGAACAGGAUUAGAUACCCCUGUAGUC
rnacentral:rRNA from 1 species